rnacentral:rRNA from 1 species
UACGGGGGGGGGCAAGCGUUGUUCGGAAUUACUGGGCGUAAAGGGCUCGUAGGCGGCCAACUAAGUCAGACGUGAAAUCCCUCGGCUUAACCGGGGAACUGCAUCUGAUACUGGAUGGCUUGAGUUCGGGAGAGGGAUGCGGAAUUCCAGGUGUAGCGGUGAAAUGCGUAGAUAUGCGGAGGAACACCGAUGGCGAAGGCAAUCCCCGUGGGCCUGCACUGACGCUCAUGCACGAAAGACGUGGGGAGCAAACAGG